rnacentral:tRNA from 1 species
GGGGGUAUAGCUCAGUUGGUAGAGUGCAUGCUUAGCAUGCACAAGGUCCUGGGUUCAAUCUCUAGUACUUCCA